CUCCACAUACGACGAGCUCCAGCACACACAUCUAAAUGUGGUGACAGCCAUUAAAUACGGAGGGAAUCUCUGCUCAUCAUGUCCUCUAGUGACACGCCAGAUCACUGCAGAUCAGCCGCUUCAUCGUCUGAAAGACUGUGUGAGAUGCAUUAAUGCAUGAGAGGAAGAGUGAUUUGACCAGCCCACAGAUGAAGAAAACAAACUGACCUUUACUGUCCCAGUGGACACAUGAACAACACAGACAACUGCUGUAAUUGGACAAGCGUUAAUAUAUCGGAUACACUGUGAUGAUGGAAAGGUCAGCGGCUCCAAUGGGACAAACAUCCUCUUUUCAUCUCAACAUGAAUCAACAGGCUGUUUGUCAUUAAUGUGCUCAACUGUCGUCUGUUAACGUCAUCUGCUUAACCUUCACCGGCAGCACAACAGUCAGAUUCUGGAAGUAAAUAUCUCAUUCAUGUUCUCCAAUAAAUAUCUCAUUCAUGUUCUCCAAUAAAAACCUGAUUUCAGUCAGUUAAUGUAAUGGGUAAUGUAAUGUAUCAAGCUCUCUACAAGCUCUGAGGAUGUUCAGAGAUCAUAAAAUCAUGUCACAAACUCUCAA